GCGCUUUGUUUUCGAGAAAUGCAUUUCAUUGGUAUGCUUUGUUUUGUUUUAUUCUUAUUUGACAGUGUUUGUAAUUUUGCGCAAAUUUGUGGAUCAUGCUUAACUACUGAUUUUAAAAGGCAAAAAUACUGAAAAUUAAAAGUAUUUAAAGGAGUAAUUUUUUGGCACUAUAAUCUACACAUGUGAUUUGAUCGGUCAUUCAUUCAGAUCGCGAGGUGUGACGUCAGUCAUACAUCAUACACCAAGGGCGUUCCAAAAUGACAUCUCUAAGAAUUCCUGAUGGAAAUUUACCUGUACUGAUUGAAUGUUUUUUGUUUAACAUCCAGUGGCAAAAAUUUCCUGCAUAUACAGACAAGCAGUUUAUGAAGGAAGGCAUAACCAUUCAGCAGCGAAAAUAAAGUCAGUGCUGCAUUUAAAACAUUUUAGGUUUGUUUAAGGAUAAAUGAUAUAAGUGAUUUAAUUGUUACUCAUAUGAUACUGUGGAUUUAUUUAAUUUUUGUGGUCUAAAAUUUUUCAUGAAUUGAUGAAAAAUAGAAUUUAUUAUGAA